UUUGGAGCUGGCAGCGUUUGCACGACAGCCUGACAUUAACCCCUCGAAGUCAAUGGAUUCUCGAAGCUAUAAACCUCUAUAAUUUCUCUACUUAGGAUGCAACCUGCAGUGUUUUUUCUAGGAAGUGAGAAGGAAAGGGGAUUGUUGCUGGUAGCGUUGUCUGUUCCAGGGAUGUGUGUGCGAGAGAGGGAGAGAGAUAAGACAAAAAUCUUUAAAACUGCCAGCCUUGAUUUUCAACUGACUUUAUGGCAACAUCAAUAGAAUUAAAGUUACUUGUAAUUCAGUGAUAAAUGAGAUGUCUCUAGUAAGUAAGAUUAAGUGCAGUGCUAUAAAGUUGUUUAUCUGAAAAGUAAUUCUCAGAAACCCGACUCCUGACACUUAGUCAUAUAUUAAACCAGCCUUUUGAACAUUGUACUUCAGUGCAAUGGCUUCUGCAUGUUUUCAGAAUUUCCUGUUUAAAAUUUUAUACCACGUAGCUGUUUGUAGAGGCUUCUCAUCUGACUUCGAAGUCCUCAUUCCCAGUAGUAACAAAAUCCCAGGAAAGAAUACAGAAUGAUCCAGGCGGUGGUGUCUCAAGUGUGGGGAAGAGGAAAGACUAAGCUGAGUUAAUUUUCACAUGCCUGCCUCGGAUCAAAACCAGAGUGUCUUGCGCCAUUCAGCCAUCAAGCUCGACAGGACCAUGUGACCUGGCCUUUAUGUAAAAGAAGCCACAGCAACGUCUUUUGAAAGAGCAUUGCAAAGAUGCAAAGAGCCAGGGCCAUAAGAGAAGAGAGAAUGCUGUCUGCCACAAGAGAGCCUGAUGAUGAAAGCCACCAGUGAUUAAAAAAAUAUUUAAUACCAA